UGAUUUCUUCUUUGCAUUGCAAUGAUGGUGAACUUGUUGUGAUGGCAUAUUGUAGGCACGCCUAGAGGAACAAAACAAGUUGCGGCAGGAAGAAACCAGGUUGCGGUAGGAGGCUCAGGCCAAUGCACAACUUCAACAGGACCAAGCCAUGAAAAUGCAACAAGCCCUCUUGCAACAACAGGAAUUCAUGGUCAAACAACAGUCAGCCCUGCAGGAGACGUUCGCUCGGUUGAGAGCUAAUAUGCAGGGUUCUACUUUGCCAGAUCUUCCUCUCCUCUUCCGCCUCUUCCUACUUUUAGCUUUUGUUCUCAGUCGGGACAAGACUCAAAUAACUUCGUGGUACCUGGAUCCAUACCUACCCAAGCAAGCCCAGUGACUCCCACUACGGCUCAUGGCGCUUCGACCUCCUUGCAACAAUAAUCACUCGAGGUUUGCAUCGUGGAUGCCAUUGACGGUGGGCAUACAUGCUACGGUGGAGCUCAUUGCAUCUUUGAGGUUCAUGCUUGGUGUGAACUUGGAACUCAUGCUUUUGUUUGUGAACCUUGUUGGAUAUGCAUGCAUGUUGUUGUGAACCUUGUUGGAUAUGUACCUGUGUGGACUUUGACCUCAUGGUCAAUUUGUUAUGGUUGUCUAGUUGUAAUAUAUUGUUGUUGUGAACCUUCAUUGUAAUAUACUUGUUAGAUCUAUAUAUU